rnacentral:rRNA from 1 species
UACAGAGGGGACGAGCGUUGUUCGGAAUACUGGGCGUAAAGGCGCGUAGGCGGCCUUCUAAGUCGAACGUGAAAUCCCCGGGCGUCAACCCGGGAACUGCGUCCGAUACUGGGAGGCUUGAAUCCGGGAGAGGGAUGUGGAAGUUCCAGGUGUAGCGGUGAAAUGCGCGAGAUAUCAGGGAGGAACCACCGGGUGGCGAAGGCGGAUCUCUGGGCCAUUACUGACGCUGGAGGAAGCGGAAAGCAUGGGGAGCGAACACGG